AUUUUUUUGGGGUGCAAGCCAUUUUACUUUUUAGUGUUACACUAAAUUAACUAGGAAGCAUUUGAGAUAAGUUGAAAAAAUUAUAUUUUUGGGGAAGACGCACUCGGGCAAUACCUUAUUUCGGACGCACUCGGAGGAUUGAAAAAGUGUCAUUUCGUGACACAAACCGGCAUUAAAGAGCCGAUCCGAGAGACUCGAUUCACUCGAACGACCCGUUUUUCCCAUUCAUACUCCAGACUAUUACCAUCUGCAAUAUACUGUACCACUGUACAUUUUAUAACACUCUAAGACGAUUCUGUUUUUUGCCGGCAUCGAUAACAUUAUUGCUAGUGUUGCAACCGUUAGUUUUUUUUCCGAUAUUUACGCCCCCAAAUUAAAAUUUGUAUUUCUUACUCGACUUGUCAGCAUAGUUUUAAUUUUGCCAUUAUAAUUUAUUUUCUAUAGGAACAUUGUAUUUCGAUAAUUAUAAUGUCGUUGUGUAGAUAUAAUAAUAUUAUUUAUCCGCUACGUUUUAUAAUAAAUUCAGUAUUUAAAACAUGAAAAUCAACUAAACGGAAUAUCGAAAAUAUUCGUUGGACGGAAACAAAAAAAAAGAAAAGAAGACGUCCUAGGAUAAUGGGGAUGAGUGCAGCCACUGUUAUAGGUAAUUAAACGUAUACCUGUAAGCAACGAUAAACCAUCGCUUACGAAAAAACGAUUCUGAGUGGAGUUCAGUUGAUAGUGAUGCUUUCUUAAAAAUAUAUAUGUUAUAUUAUAGUAAAGUAAUUAAAUAGGCUUUAUACAUUUAUUUUUAAUAAAAUGUGUUUAAUUUUGAACCGAUUUUCCCGAUUUUCCUACGUUUUUCCCAGUUUUCCUAUGCUUUAUCCCGGUUUUUCACAUUUACCGGAAAACACUCGGGAAAAUCGAAAAAUAACCUCCUUGAAGUGUCUCCCCACACAGACUUCCUUUCAGAAAAAAGGCUACACUUAAAAAUCGGAGCAAGUCUUUUAGUAGAAAAGUUGCGCACAGGUACAAAAUAAAUAAUUAAAUAAACAUCUUUGUGAAACCAUAAUUUUCUUCGCUCCACUCAGAAUCUAAAAAAAUACAUGUAUAUUUAUGAAAAAAGACGAUUUUAAUUUUUAGACACCUCAGGACGACGGCUUGUACGGAAUGGCAUACCUCGCACGCCCGAUCGUUUGGCGAGGGUUCACGUCGGUCAUUUUACAAUAACGAUUCCCAACGACAAUGACGCUGUUCAAAUUUAACGGGUAUUGUACGUGAAGUUAACGGACGGCGGGGGACACAGACUCGACAGCCGAACCGGAUUAUAACUAUUGCUCUCGGGAAAACUUCACGGGCUUCUUCUUCUAUUGUAAUAUAAUCGCGAAAUACCCGGCCGAUCCGCUUAAGCCCACCGCGCUGAAGUCGCGAUAACACACGAAUGC